rnacentral:rRNA from 1 species
CGUGAGUAACCUGCCUUGGAGUGGGGAAUAACACAUCGAAAGAUGUGCUAAUACCGCAUGAUGCAGUUGGGCCGCAUGGCUCUGACUGCCAAAGAUUUAUCGCUCUGAGAUGGACUCGCGUCUGAUUAGCUGGUUGGCGGGGUAACGGCCCACCAAGGCGACGAUCAGUAGCCGGACUGAGAGGUUGACCGGCCACAUUGGGACUGAGACACGGCCCAGACUCCUACGGAAGGCAGCAG